GGACGUCACCCCUGGUUAUAAAAUGAGGAAGAGUUUGCUUUGUGACAUGCCACCCACAGGACUACACAUACACUUGUGAACAGGUGGACUAACAUACGCAUGUGACAGAAAAUUAAAGGUUAACUGAUACAUUAACAAGAAUGUCUUCCAGAAACAAGACUAACCGGCUAACCAUAAAAAUAAUAAUUUUACUGUCUUUCUUGACUGAUGCAGUGACAACAGGUCUCAAUUCAACUUCAUCUGUCACCUCUGCCACCACUACAGCCAGCAGUACAGCUGUGUCUGUCACCUCUGUUCCCACUACAGCCAGCAGUACACCUGUGUCUGUCACCUCUGUUCCCACU